GUGUCAGCAGCCGCGGUAAGACGUAGGAUGCAAGCGUUAUCCGGAAUUAUUGGGCGUAAAGCGUACGUAGGCGGUUCGCUAAGUCUGGAGUUAAAGACCGAGGCUCAACCUCGGGAGUGCUCUGGAAACUGGUGGGCUUGAGGACGGCAGAGGAAAGUGGAAUUCCCAGUGUAGCGGUGAAAUGCGUAGAUAUUGGGAGGAACACCAGUGGCGAAAGCGACUUUCUGGGCCGUUCCUGACGCUGAGGUACGAAAGCCAGGGGAGCAAACGGGAUUAGAAACCCUGGUAGUCC
rnacentral:rRNA from 1 species